rnacentral:rRNA from 1 species
AUUGUACGCUGGCGGCAGGCCUAACACAUGCAAGUCGAGCGGAUGAAGGGAGCUUGCUCCUGGAUUCAGCGGCGGACGGGUGAGUAAUGCCUAGGAAUCUGCCUGGUAGUGGGGGAUAACGUCCGGAAACGGGCGCUAAUACCGCAUACGUCCUGAGGGAGGAAGUGGGGGAUCUUCGGACCUCACGCUAUCAGAUGAGCCUAGGUCGGAUUAGCUAGUUGGUGGGGUAAAGGCCUACCAAGGCGACGAUCCGUAACUGGUCUGAGAGGAUGAUCAGUCACACUGGAACUGAGACACGGUCCAGACUCCUACGGGAGGCAGCAGUGGGGAAUAUUGGACAAUGGGCGAAAGCCUGAUCCAGCCAUGCCGCGUGUGUGAAGAAGGUCUUCGGAUUGUAAAGCACUUUAAGUUGGGAGGAAGGGCAGUAAGUUAAUACCUUGCUGUUUUGACGUUACCAACAGAAUAAGCACCGGCUAACUUCGUG